rnacentral:rRNA from 1 species
UGCAAGUCGAACGGUAGCACAGAGGAGCUUGCUCCUUGGGUGACGAGUGGCGGACGGGUGAGUAAUGUCUGGGAAACUGCCCGAUGGAGGGGGAUAACUACUGGAAACGGUAGCUAAUACCGCAUAACGUCGCAAGACCAAAGAGGGGGACCUUCGGGCCUCUUGCCAUCGGAUGUGCCCAGAUGGGAUUAGCUAGUAGGUGGGGUAACGGCUCACCUAGGCGACGAUCCCUAGCUGGUCUGAGAGGAUGACCAGCCACACUGGAACUGAGACACGGUCCAGACUCCUACGGGAGGCAGCAGUGGGGAAUAUUGCACAAUGGGCGCAAGCCUGAUGCAGCCAUGCCGCGUGUAUGAAGAAGGCCUUCGGGUUGUAAAGUACUUUCAGCGAGGAGGAAGGCAUUAAGGUUAAUAACCUUAGUGAUUGACGUUACUCGCAGAAGAAGCACCGGCUAACUCCGUGCCAGCAGCCGCGGUAAUACGGGGGGUGCAAGCGUUAAUCGGAAUUACUGGGCGUAAAGCGCACGCAGGCGGUCUGUCAAGUCGGAUGUGAAAUCCCCGGGCUCAACCUGGGAACUGCAUCCGAAACUGGCAGGCUAGAGUCUUGUAGAGGGGGGUAGAAUUCCAGGUGUAGCGGUGAAAUGCGUAGAGAUCUGGAGGAAUACCGGUGGCGAAGGCGGCCCCCUGGACAAAGACUGACGCUCAGGUGCGAAAGCGUGGGGAGCAAACAGGAUUA